CUGGCUUGGGGCUGCGGGAUGGGGAGUUAGCGCCACGGCGGCGGCAGUGGCCGCAGCGCAACCGGCCGCCGCCCCCGGGUCUGUCCCGCCGGGGGUGCGGGGCGCGGCCAGCCCGCCCCGGAGCCAGGCCCGCGGGCGGCGGCGACGGAGGAGCUGGGCAGGUGGAUGCGGCUGGAAGAUGGCGCCCUCGGGCCCGGGCAGCGUCAGGCGGCGGUGCCGGCGGGUGCUCUACUGGAUCCCGGUGGUGUUCAUCAGCCUUCUGCUCGGCUGGUCCUACUACGCCUACGCCAUCCAGCUGUGCAUAGUGUCCAUGGAAAACGUUGGGGAACAAGUUGUGUGCCUGAUUGCUUAUCAUCUACUUUUUGCAAUGUUUGUCUGGUCAUACUGGAAAACUAUCUUUACAUUACCAAUGAAUCCUUCAAAAGAAUUCCAUCUCUCUUAUGCAGAGAAAGAAUUGUUGGAGAGAGAGCCAAGAGGAGAAGCCCAUCAGGAAGUUCUUAGGCGAGCCGCCAAAGAUCUUCCCAUCUAUACCAGGACCAUGUCUGGAGCAAUCCGAUACUGUGACAGAUGCCAGCUCAUAAAACCAGACCGCUGCCAUCACUGUUCCGUCUGUGAUAAAUGUAUUUUGAAGAUGGACCAUCAUUGCCCGUGGGUGAACAAUUGUGUCGGAUUUUCAAAUUAUAAAUUUUUCCUCCUUUUCUUGGCUUAUUCUCUGCUCUACUGCCUUUUUAUUGCUGCUACAGACUUGCAGUAUUUUAUCAAAUUUUGGACAAAUGGCCUACCCGAUACUCAAGCCAAGUUCCAUAUUAUGUUUUUAUUCUUUGCUGCAGCUAUGUUUUCUGUCAGCUUGUCCUCUCUGUUUGGCUAUCAUUGUUGGCUAGUCAGCAAAAAUAAAUCUACAUUAGAGGCGUUUAGAAGUCCUGUAUUUCGACACGGAACAGAUAAGAAUGGAUUCAGCUUGGGUUUCAGUAAAAACAUGCGACAAGUUUUUGGGGAUGAAAAGAAGUACUGGUUGCUACCCAUUUUUUCAAGUCUAGGUGACGGCUGCUCCUUUCCGACUUGCCUUGUUAAUCAGGAUCCCGAGCAAGCAUCUACUCCUGCGGGAUUGAAUUCAACAUCGAAAAAUCCUGAAAACCAUCCGUUUCCUGCAAAGCCAUUGCGAGAGUCCCAGAGCCACCUUCUCACUGAUUCUCAGUCUUGGACAGAGAGCAGCACAAACCCGGGAAAAGGCAAAGCUGGUAUGAGCAAUCCUGCAUUAACCAUGGAGAAUGAGACUUAACUCUUCAAACAAAAUAAAUUCAUACUUUAUGAAAGUAUCAAUGCUGUAGGUGGAGGAAGAGGCUUCCCACAGGAAGGCACCGUUGGGCUGUUGCUCCCAUUUCCCUUUGGCUGGAUGUGCAGAAUAUGAAUUGAGUUCUUUAAAAAAUACCCUCAGGCAAACAGAGGCUGCAGAUGAGCCCAGAAUGGCUACAAAGAAUCAACUGGAGGAAAGACUGGACACACAGUAAGGCUCAAGUAUGUUUUUGUUUACGUUCUUCUCACAAGGUCUUUGCACUAGUUUAAGAUACCAGCUAACAAUGAACAGGGUUUAUUCUUAUUUAGAAAAAAGAAAACAAAGGUGACAAGUGAAAUGGGUAUCAGCUGAACCAGAACACCUUACAUUUUUACAAUGUUUUAAAUUUGACCAACCCAACCCUUUUCUGCUCCAUGUAUAUUUUCACAUAUUAGGGAUUGUUAACACAUUUGAGUAGAUUUCACUUGGACUGCACUAAGGUAGUAGUUUCUCAGCUUCUUUGAAAAUAGUCUCACUUGUAUUUCCAUACAGACUAUGAAAAGAAACCAGUGCUUUGGUCACUUCAAACUUAGCUUUGAUUUCUCAAAGAAAUACAGUAAUAGCUGGAAAGCACUAGAAUAUCUGACUGACUUAGAGCCAAGGAAAAAUACUCAAAAUCCCUUUUCAUUUUAUAAUUAACUGUCGAUGUUGUACCCAGUGGCCUCACUCUUCAACCAACUGUUCUUUCCAAAAGGCUAAGUCGUUAAAUUUUAUUUCCUCUAGACAUAAUUCUUUGGGCUACUGAUUCAGAAACCAUGACCUAAGUAUCAGUAAAUGGCUUUCUUGGCUAACAGACUUUGGUUGUAGCCUCACUUUCAUUUCUUAUUUUUGUGAAGAAAUCACGAUGUGUUAAGAUACUCCAUUUUAAAAUGUCUGUUGCUUUCCCAGUAGUUGGGCGUGUUGUGAUGAGUGCUUGGUCUGCUUAUGUCAACAUAUAUUGUGUUUUUUAGCAGUUACAGUAUCAUUCCUUGACAAACUCAGUAUUUACCAUAUAAUUUGGGUUAGAAAAUCCACAUUCCAGUGUGCCUUCAAGGCACAGCAUUCAAAGUGCAGUUUUCUUGUUUUGACAUAAUGAUCUGGUAACAGGAAAAAAAAAUGUUUUUGUACAGAUAGACAAAGCACUCUAAAUGCUUUCACAUCAUAGCUGCAUCACUGAUUGUGUCGCAUACCAAAACGGAAUGUGAAAUGCUAAGAAAGCCAUAAGCAGUUUCUGUAGCUGCUAGUCAACCUUCCUGCUGUGGUGCAAAAGUAGCCAUAGACAGUACAGAAAUGAUGAGUGUGGCUGCAUUCCAAGAAAACUUUAUUUAUGGACACUAAAAUUUGAAUUUCAUAAUUUUCACAUGUCAGGAGGUAUUAUUCUUUUGAUUUUUUUCCCCCAACCAUUUUAAAACCAUAAAAAUUGUUCUCAUCUCUCUGGCCUUACAAAGAUUGGCAGCAGCCUGGUUUGGGCCUGUAGGCUGUAGUUUGCUGACCCUUGCUCCAAGAGAUUUAAUAGAAUAAGGUGAGUCCAGAGUUAAUGGCUCAGGAGCAUUACAAAAUUAUCAGCCAAAUAUCUCAAGUCCAAAAGCUAGAUUUAGUUAAGGUCAUAAUGUUCCUCUUUUAGAAGUAAUAAAAUAGUAUUACUGCUUAAGAGACAGAAACCAAAACUGACACAAACUAAGAAACUGAGCAACUAUGUGGCUAUUCAAAAGGGAAUCUUUGUAAUUCCUAUUUUUUUAAGGAGGUGAAGAUCAAAAUAAGAAACCUAUUAGAUUAUCUGCUAUAUUGUGUCAGCUUUAAAAAGAAGCCACAGUAAGUCAUAUCAAAUGCAUUACUUUGUCUUUAAGAAUAAAUGUCUUCGUGGAAAGGAGAUAAAAAUCAAUUCUUAACAUCUAGUUGAGGUAUUCAUAAAGAAUAAGCUGACAGUGUUGAAAUGCAAAAGGCUCCAUUAGACUCAUUAUUCAACUAAUAGAAACUAGACUAUUAGCUACAGUUGAAGUUACCGAGUUAUUAAUAAUAAUACACUAACAACUAGUUACAGUUAAAGAAGUUACUGAGUUCUGUUCAGUUGCCCAAAUUAAAAAAAAUAAAAUCUCCCAAAUAAAUAUUUUUAAAACAAAAUUACCAGUCAUCAACAUAUAUAAGAAAACAUUUCUGAAGGCUUUAUUUACAAAAGCUUUAAAAACAAAUAAUACCCUCUGUUUUGCAAAUAACGUUUUGUUUAAAAAGGACCACCCAGUUACAGCAUUGUAAUAUAAUGAAUAAUGUACAAAGAAAACAAACCAGUGUGGCUAACAUUUUAAGAUUUGCUAGUAUUACUGAUUCAAAUGUAGGUGACACACAUCAUAACGUGUAGUCUAUCAUUUCAGGGAAGAGUUAAUGAUUACCAAAAUGUCUUCCUACACAUGCUCUGGUCUGGUCACAUAUUCUGCAUGGCUAAAUAUUUCAAUCUCUUUUGUCAAUAUAUAUAAAAUAGAUUGCAAAGAUAUACACAAAAAAAUAAACAAGCAUUACACUCCUCAGGUAAUUAGCUAUAUAUAUAGCCAUAUAUAUAUAUACACACACACAUAUAUGGCUUUAUAUAUAGAAUAUAUUUUUGUGUUUUGUUUUUUGCACCAAAUCUCUUCAUUAUUUAUCUUUGUAACAACUAUGAAAGCACAAUUUUUUGUCUUCUAAUUUAAUUUGGUACAAUACAUACCUAAAGACUUGCUAUCUUUGGACUUUAAUGAAAUUGAUUUGUGGAAUCAACAAAGCAAGAGCAUCGUAAGUAUGGCUAUAAAAUGUUUAAAAAAUUAAAAAUAAGGUAAACAGUGACAGAGUAAGAAGAAGCAGAUCAAAGGGAAGUGUGCUAUCAUAAAAUAAUGGCGGCUUCAAUUAUCUUGGAUGCCAGUUUCCUGGCAGACAUUAAACAUCCAAUCACAAGGGGUUUUUCCUGAAGGGUGUAAAGCUGGUUUGAAAAAUUCUUCAGUCACAGAGCAGCCUACACAUGCCAAUGAGAAACUGACAGACACUAGAUGUGCUUGGAAGAUUAAACACCACGUACAGAAACAGCAGUUACUAAGCUCUCAGUAGUUUUUUGUUCACUUUUUUUUUUUUGUAGUCUUGCUGAAUCAACCGUUUGCACAAUGCAUGUGCUAUUUCCGUGGGUCAAAAACAAGUAAAUACUUUAUAAGGUUGGCAGAUGGUCAUUUUUCCAGCUAAGAGCAAGAAAAGCCAAAAUUUCUGAUAAAACAGAGGAUUUGAGUCAGAAUCACUCUCUAAAGUGCAAAAUUGAUGGUCCACAAUCUCAAAUAGCUAAAACUCCUGCAGAAUAGAAGGGAGACAUGAAACAGGGAAAUAAAUUACAGUCAGUGCUAGUUAAUUUAGGAAGGGGGAAAAACAAACCAAGCCCAAGCAGGUGAAGUUUAUCAAAAUAUUCAGUAUGAUACGGGUUUCCCCACUCUCUGUCACACAUGCCUGCUAACAAGUAUAUUAAGUUAAGGCCAAAUUUAACCUGAAUGCUUUUCUAUUUAUUAAGAUCUGAGAUAGGAAUGGUCAUACUAGUACUGAAAGGCAGAAAAUAAAAUGGGCUAUGAAAGAAAAAAAAA